rnacentral:rRNA from 1 species
UACGUAGGCAGCAAGCGUUGUUCGGAAUUACUGGGCGUAAAGAGUGUGUAGGCGGUUUUCUAAGUUUGGUGUGAAAUCUCCCGGCUUAACUGGGAGGGUGCGCCGAAAACUGGAAGGCUUGAGUGCCGGAGAGGAUAGCGGAAUUCCUGGUGUAGCGGUGAAAUGCGUAGAUAUCAGGAGGAACACCUGCGGUGUAGACGGCUAUCUGGACGGCCACUGACGCUGAGACACGAAAGCGUGGGUAGCAAACAG